rnacentral:snRNA from 1 species
ACACUCGGCAGCACAUAUACUAAAAUUGGAACGAUACAGAGAAGAUUAGCAUGGCCCCUGUGCAAGAAUAAGUGGCUUAAGCCUCUUUG